GAUGAACGCUAGCGGGAGGCUUAACACAUGCAAGUCGAGGGGCAUCUCUGGUAGCAAUACUGGACGGCGACCGGCGUACGGGUGAGUAACGCGUAUGUAACCUACCCUUUACCGGGGGAUAGCUCCCGGAAACGGGAAUUAAUACCCCAUGAGGUUUCGGAGGCGCAUGCUUUCGGGAUCAAAGCUACGGCGGUAAAGGAUGGGCAUGCGUAGCAUUAGCUAGUUGGUAGGGUAACGGCCUACCAAGGCUACGAUGCUUAGGGGACCUGAGAGGGUGUACCCCCACACUGGUACUGAGACACGGACCAGACUCCUACGGGAGGCAGCAGUGAGGAAUAUUGGUCAAUGGGCGGAAGCCUGAACCAGCCAUCCCGCGUGCAGGAAGACUGCCCUAUGGGUUGUAAACUGCUUUUAUAGUAGAAGAAACACAUCUACGUGUAGAUGUCUGCCAGUAUACUAUGAAUAAGCAUCGGCUAACUCCGUG
rnacentral:rRNA from 1 species